rnacentral:tRNA from 1 species
GGCCGGUUAGCUCAGUCAGUUGAGCACAGCGCUAACAACGCUAAGGCCGAGGGUUCGAUUCCUGUUUGGUCCU